GCACACAAUACACCACCCUGAACAGGCCUGAUCUCGUCUCAUCUCGGAAGCUAAGCAGGGUCAGGCCUGGUUAGUACUUGGAUGGGAGAAUUCGUAAAGAACAGGGUUCAAGUCCC
rfam:Erinaceus europaeus unplaced genomic scaffold scaffold00230, whole genome shotgun sequence